rnacentral:pre_miRNA from 1 species
UAGCUACUCCCUCCGUCCGGAAAUAGUUGUCAUCAAAAUGAAUAAAAAAAGAUGUAUCUAGAUGUAUUUUAGUUUUAGAUACAUCCAUUUUUGUCCAUUUUGAUGACAAGUAUUUCCGGACGGAGGGAGUAAGUU